rnacentral:misc_RNA from 1 species
GAUGAGAACGUAGCGAAAUGCGAUAAGUAAUGUGAAUUGCAGAAUUCCGUGAAUCAUCGAAUCUUUGAACGCACAUUGCGCCCCCUGGUAUUCCGGGGGGCAUGCCUGUCCGAGCGUCAUUGCAACCCUCAAGCGCGGCUUGUGUGUUGGGCUUCGUCCCCCCGUGGACGUGCCCGAAAGGCAGUGGCGGCGUCCCGAAUGGUGCCCGAGCGUAUGGGAACUCUCUUCCGCUCGAACCGGCCCAUUCGGCGCUGGUCGAACCCCAAUUUUUUUUUACCGGUUGACCUCGGAUCAGGUAGGGAUACCCGCUGAACUUAAGCAUAUCAAUAAGCGGAGGA